ensembl:snRNA U6 U6 spliceosomal RNA
GUGCCUGCUUAGGCAGCACAUAUAUGCAAAUUGGAAUGAUAGAAAGUAAGCCUGGCCCCUGCACAAUCAUGACAUACAAAUUUGUGGAGCAUUCCAUGUUUGC